rnacentral:misc_RNA from 1 species
GAUGAAGAACGCAGCGAAAUGCGAUAAGUAAUGUGAAUUGCAGAAUUCAGUGAAUCAUCGAAUCUUUGAACGCACAUUGCGCCCCCUGGUAUUCCGGGGGGCAUGCCUGUUCGAGCGUCAUUACAACCCUCAAGCUCUGCUUGGUAUUGGGCCCCGCCAGUUCUGGCGGGCCCUAAAGUCAGUGGCGGUGCCUUCCGGCUCCGAGCGUAGUAAUUCUUCUCGCUCUGGAGACCCGGCUGUGUGCUUGCCAACAACCCCCAAUUUUUUAAGGUUGACCUCGGAUCAGGUAGGGAUACCCGCUGAACUUAAGCAUAUCAAUAAGCGGAGGA